GAUGACGUCACCACGCCCACAGUUACACUCGAAAGACAAGUGGAGGAAUUUGUUUUGUCAUCAACUUCCUCUUCCUCCUCCAAAUGUCCAAUCUCUGAAAGACGCUUACCAUCUUACCUUAUUGAUCACAGAGGAGCAAUGGAGAGUUGCCGAAAGAGAUCGAUGGUGGGUUUUGUUAACUCUAAUGUUUAGGGUUUGUAAUACCCAGUUCGUGAAUUUCUGAGGCCUUCCUUCUCCGGCAAUCAUUUUCUGCAUUGGGGAAGCGAUGGACGAGAAAACGGAUGUUGUUAGUGCGAAAAAGGUUAUGUCUCCAUGCGAUGUCGAAGCUCUGAAGAAAUGUCUGGAGGAGAACAAGGGUGACUACGUGAAAUGCCAAUCUCAGGUGGAAGCUUUCAGGUCUUCAUGUUCUCUGAAGAAACCAAAUUCGGUCACUCAACCCUCGCCCAAGCUCAGACGUGGUUCCAUGUCCGAUCUUUAAAAAACUGUAAAAGUUAUAGUUUGCUUCUAAUACCUAAACAGGACAAGUAAAUCAUGUUCUUUUAAUUGCAGACUUACAUGAUAUUUCUCUGAAAUCUAUUUUGAUAUUUUCUGAA